UACGGGGGGGGCAAGCGUUGUUCGGAAUUACUGGGCGUAAAGGGCUCGUAGGCGGCCAACUAAGUCGGAUGUGAAAUCCCCAGGCUUAACCUGGGAACUGCAUCCGAUACUGGAUGGCUUGAAUCCGGGAGAGGGAUGCAGAAUUCCAGGUGUAGCGGUGAAAUGCGUAGAUAUCUGGAGGAACACCGGUGGCGAAGGCGGGUCUCUGGGCCGAAACUGACGCUGAGGAGCGAAAGCGUGGGGAGCAAACAGG
rnacentral:rRNA from 1 species